rnacentral:misc_RNA from 1 species
GCAAGUUAUAAUCUUCAUCUGCCUCCCCCCCAAUACACACACUUUCUCUGUGUGCAUGUUUCCCUCUCUCCCACGUUUAAAUAUAUUCAAGGAUAAAUGUGGUAUUUUGAUAAAGAGAGAUGAUAUUAAGGCCUUAAAGUACAAAAUCAGUUAAUUGUAGAAAGCAUAACUAACACAUAACCAUAAGCAAUGUUAAAUCUUUAAGACAUUUAACUCAUGCACAUAAAUAACAGCUUCAUGCAUCACAGGACAUGACAGUUAUGUCAAAAUCACAUCUUAAAUCGUUG